rnacentral:lncRNA from 1 species
CAGGGCAGCCCGUGCCUUGUAAGACUGGAGUUCAGGCAGAAGGGACAGGCGACAGACCCAGAAAACAGGGUGCUGGGAGAGAUACCUGGGGAGGAGGCCAGAGUCAGGCUCUACCACCAACUGUGUCAUGGCCCUUGGGCAGGGGUCCUCUCCGAACUUCAGUGGCUUCUUCGUAAAAUGGGAGAAAAGAACCAGUUAACCACAGAGGCUUUUGGACAUGAAAUGAGACUACGACAACAGGAAACCAGAAGCCAAGGUAUCCCAGGCGUUGGGAAGAGCCAAGGCUGAGACUGCCAACUGGGGGCACCAGUUCCAGCCGUGCUUGACUUUGAGGCUGGCACCUUCUCCCUGGCUCUCUGCACCGUGCCCCUCUCCACACGCCACCCAUCAAGGGACAAGAUAAUGUGCUUUAUCGGGGGCAUUUAUUAUCGACAAUUGCUUCAUAAAUCUCCCUCUAUUCACACGCAUACGUAUAAGAGGUGGAGAAGUACGCAGGGAAGACUUCUGCGCCAACCCCCC